rnacentral:rRNA from 1 species
CCUACGGGAGGCAGCAGUGGGGAAUAUUGCACAAUGGGGGAAACCCUGAUGCAGCGAUGCCGCGUGAGUGAUGAAGGACUUCGGUAUGUAAAGCUCUAUCAGCAGGGAAGAAAAUGCCGGUGCCUGACUAAGCAGCUCCGGCCAACUACGUGCCAGCAACCGCGGUAAAACGUAGGGGGCGAACGUUAGCCGGAUUUACUGGGGGUAACGGGAGCGUAGACGGCUUGGCAAGCCAGAUGUGAAAGGCUGGGGCUCAACCUGAGAACUGCAUUUGGAACUGGCAUGCUAGAGUGUCGGAGAGGCAGGUGGAAUUCCUAGUGUAGCGGUGAAAUGCGUAGAUAUUAGGAGGAACACCAGUGGCGAAGGCGGCCUGCUGGACGAUCACUGACGUUGAGGCUCGAAAGCGUGGGUAGCAAACAGGAUUAGAUACCCGGGUAGUC